rnacentral:rRNA from 1 species
AGUGAACGCUGGCGGUAGGCCUAACACAUGCCAGUCGAACGGCAGCACAGUAAGAGCUUGCUCUUACGGGUGGCGAGUGGCGGACGGGUGAGGAAUACAGCGGAAUCUACUUUUUCGUGGGGGAUAACGUAGGGAAACUUACGCUAAUACCGCAUACGACCUACGGGUGAAAGCAGGGGAGCUUCGGACCUUGCGCGAAUGAAUGAGCCGAUGUCGGAUUAGCUAGUUGGCGGGGUAAAGGCCCACCAAGGCGACGAUCCGUAGCUGGUCUGAGAGGAUGGUCAGCCAAACUGGAACUGAGACACGGUCCAGACCCCUACGGGAGGAGGCAGUGGGGAAUAUUGGACAAUGGGCGAAAGCCUGAUCCAGCCAUACCGCGUGGGUGAAGAAGGCCUUCGGGUUGUAAAGCCUUUUUGUUGGGAAAGAAAAGCAUCAGGUUAAUACCCCGCUGUUCUGACGGUACCCAAAGAAUAAGCACCGGCUAACUUCGUG